ensembl:snRNA Rnu2-18 RNA, U2 small nuclear 18
AUUGCUUCUCGGCCUUUUGGCUAAGAUCAAGUGUAAUAUUUAGAUUUGCCUUCUCUGAAAAUUACAUAUGAAUUGUUUCAUAUGGACACACUUGCUAGAACUUGCAACCCAAAUUUCUGUUUUGGAUUUACACACUCCUG